UUAAGUGUUUUUAUAUUCAAAUAAAUAUUCAUUAUCACAAUCAGUAUGGAAAAUAAAUAUGUUGUGAUGUUGGAAUGUGGGUCAGAAAAUUGUCACACAGUCCCAUUAAAAUCUGUUCAUCAUUUCGAUGAAAAAAACACGAACGAUUCAAAUCAUAUAAAUUUGAUGUAAAUGAUUCCGUCUUGUACGGAACUGUCAAUUUUAUUGCAAAUUCAUUAAAGGAAGUAGAGGAUAUUCUGAAAAAAAUAGAAGAGUAAGUAAACCAUGUGCGAAAUUUCUAAUUCCUCCAAUAGACACUAGCGACACCGAAAACGAUGUUCCUGAUCCUUCAAUAGCUAACAACAAUAUGAAAAAGAUCGAGAAAAGUCUACAAAAUAGACUCGACAAAAUAAAGAAAAUAAAGGAAGAAAAUGUAAAUAAAAUUACUAAAAAUAGUACAGAUUUACUUCCUGUGGAGAAAACAAAGAAUUCAAAUGAUCACGCUAAUCUCUCAAAAGUACCUCAAAGUAAAAAGUAUAAAGUCGA